AGAGUUUGAUCCUGGCUCAGGAUGAACGCUGGCGGCGUGCUUAACACAUGCAAGUCGAACGAAGCACCUUGAUUUGAUUCUUCGGAUGAAGAUCUUGGUGACUGAGUGGCGGACGGGUGAGUAACGCGUGGGUAACCUGCCUCAUACAGGGGGAUAACAGUUAGAAAUGACUGCUAAUACCGCAUAAGACCACAGCACCGCAUGGUGCAGGGGUAAAAACUCCGGUGGUAUGAGAUGGACCCGCGUCUGAUUAGGUAGUUGGUGGGGUAACGGCCUACCAAGCCGACGAUCAGUAGCCGACCUGAGAGGGUGACCGGCCACAUUGGGACUGAGACACGGCCCAAACUCCUACGGGAGGCAGCAGUGGGGAAUAUUGCACAAUGGGGGAAACCCUGAUGCAGCGACGCCGCGUGAGCGAUGAAGUAUUUCGGUAUGUAAAGCUCUAUCAGCAGGGAAGAAAAUGACGGUACCUGACUAAGAAGCACCGGCUAAAUACGUGCCAGCAGCCGCGGUAAUACGUAUGGUGCAAGCGUUAUCCGGAUUUACUGGGUGUAAAGGGAGCGUAGACGGAGUGGCAAGUCUGAUGUGAAAACCCGGGGCUCAACCCCGGGACUGCAUUGGAAACUGUCAAUCUAGAGUACCGGAGAGGUAAGCGGAAUUCCUAGUGUAGCGGUGAAAUGCGUAGAUAUUAGGAGGAACACCAGUGGCGAAGGCGGCUUACUGGACGGUAACUGACGUUGAGGCUCGAAAGCGUGGGGAGCAAACAGGAUUAGAUACCCUGGUAGUCCACACGGUAAACGAUGAAUACUCGCUGUAGGCGAUAUACAGUCUGCGGCCAAGCGAAAGCAUUAAGUAUUCCACCUGGGGAGUACGCCGGCAACGGUGAAACUCAAAGGAAUUGACGGGGGCCCGCACAAGCGGAGGAACAUGUGGUUUAAUUCGAUGAUACGCGAGGAACCUUACCCGGGCUUAAAUUGCAACCGAAUAUGGCGGAAACGCCAUAGCUAGCAAUAGCGGUUGUGAAGGUGCUGCAUGGUUGUCGUCAGCUCGUGCCGUGAGGUGUCGGCUUAAGUGCCAUAACGAGCGCAACCCUUGCCGAUAGUUACUAACAGGUCAUGCUGAGGACUCUGUCGGGACUGCCAUCGUAAGAUGUGAGGAAGGUGGGGAUGACGUCAAAUCAGCACGGCCCUUACGUCCGGGGCUACACACGUGUUACAAUGGGGGGUACAGAGGGCUGCUACCACGCAAGUGGAUGCCAAUCCCAAAAACCUCUCUCAGUUCGGAUUGAAGUCUGCAACCCGACUUCAUGAAGCUGGAUUCGCUAGUAAUCGCGCAUCAGCCACGGCGCGGUGAAUACGUUCCCGGGCCUUGUACACACCGCCCGUCAAGCCAUGGGAGCCGGGGGUACCUGAAGUGCGUAACCGCAAGGAGCGCCCUAGGGUAAAACUGGUGACUGGGGCUAAGUCGUAACAAGGUA
rnacentral:rRNA from 1 species